CAAGAUAUAGCUUAAUAAAACAAAGCAUCCGGCUUACACCCAGAAGAUUUCCCUACUAGUGAAUAUCUUGA
rnacentral:tRNA from 1 species